CUCUAUCACUCCUACGGGAGGCAGCAGUGGGGAAUAUUGGACAAUGGGGGGAACCCUGAUCCAGCCAUGCCGCGUGUGUGAAGAAGGCCCUCGGGUUGUAAAGCACUUUCAGCGAGGAAGAACGCCUAGCGGUUAAUACCCGCUAGGAAAGACAUCACUCGCAGAAGAAGCACCGGCUAACUCCGUGCCAGCAGCCGCGGUAAUACGGAGGGUGCAAGCGUUAAUCGGAAUUACUGGGCGUAAAGCGCGCGUAGGUGGCUUGAUAAGCCGGUUGUGAAAGCCCCGGGCUCAACCUGGGAACGGCAUCCGGAACUGUCAAGCUAGAGUGCAGGAGAGGAAGGUAGAAUUCCCGGUGUAGCGGUGAAAUGCGUAGAGAUCGGGAGGAAUACCAGUGGCGAAGGCGGCCUUCUGGACUGACACUGACACUGAGGUGCGAAAGCGUGGGUAGCAAACAGGAUUAGAUACCCUGGUAG
rnacentral:rRNA from 1 species